rnacentral:rRNA from 1 species
GAUGAACGCUGGCGGCGUGCCUAAUACAUGCAAGUCGAGCGAACAGACGAGGAGCUUGCUCCUCUGACGUUAGCGGCGGACGGGUGAGUAACACGUGGAUAACCUACCUAUAAGACUGGGAUAACUUCGGGACACCGGAUCUAAUACCGGAUAAUAUAUUGAACCGCAUGGUUCAAUAGUGAAAGACGGCUUUGCUGUCACUUAUAGAUGGAUCCGCGCCGCAUUAGCUAGUUGGUAAGGUAACGGCUUACCAAGGCAACGAUGCGUGGCCGACCUGACAGGGUGAUCGGCCGCACUGGAACUGAGACACGGUCCAGACGCCUGAGGGAGGCAGCAGUAGGGAAUGUUCGGCAAUGGGCGAAAGCCUGACGGAGCAACGCGGCGUGAGUGAUGAAGGUCUUCGGAUCGUAAAACUCUGUUAUUAGGGAAGAACAAAUGUGUAAGUAAAUAUGCACGUCUUGACGGUACCUAAUCAGAAAGCCACGGCUAACUACGUG